rnacentral:rRNA from 1 species
GACGAACGCUGGCGGCGUGCCUAAUACAUGCAAGUCGAGCGCAGGAAACUGACGGAACUCUUCGGAGGGAAGGCAGCGGAAUGAGCGGCGGACGGGUGAGUAACACGUAAGGAACCUGCCUCAAGGAUUGGGAUAACUCCGAGAAAUCGGAGCUAAUACCGGAUAGUUCAUCGGACCGCAUGGUCCGUUGAUGAAAGGCGCUUCGGCGUCACCUUGAGAUGGCCUUGCGGUGCAUUAGCUAGUUGGUGGGGUAACGGCCCACCAAGGCGACGAUGCAUAGCCGACCUGAGAGGGUGAUCGGCCACACUGGGACUGAGACACGGCCCAGACUCCUACGGGAGGCAGCAGUAGGGAAUCUUCCACAAUGGACGAAAGUCUGAUGGAGCAACGCCGCGUGAGUGAUGAAGGUUUUCGGAUCGUAAAACUCUGUUGUAAGGGAAGAACACGUACGAGAGGAAAUGCUCGUACCUUGACGGUACCUUACGAGAAAGCCACGGCUAACUACGUGCCAGCCGCCGUAAAAC